GCGAGAGUGGCGGAAUCGGCAGACGCGCACGUUUGAGGGGCGUGUGGGGCGCCUCGUACGGGUUCAAGUCCCGUCUCUCGCACCA
rnacentral:tRNA from 1 species